GUGCAUUAUAAAUUGUUUUCUCCAGAGUUGGCAAUUAUUAUUAAGAGGACUUGUCGGCUUUUAAGUGGACCAUGAUCCUAUAAUAUCUUUGAAAGUCUGGCUCUACCCAAGGCAACGUGACGUGUACGACUCUUUCCCUAGUAAUGGAGUGGUGGUGCUCAUUUUCAGGUGCAACACUGGGAAGAUAUUCAGGCGUGUCUAUUUUGUCGUAUUCGGCUGUACCUAUUUAUCCUUUUGCAUUAUUGGAAAAGAUAACUAAUUUGAAUUUGCCAAAUUUUAGACUCACUGUGCAUCGAUGAAUCUUAUGCGUCUUGGCAUAUUUCUGUAACUUAUCCUUUUGUCGUUAUUUUGUUAAAUCUGGGAAUGACAAAAUUGCAUUUGAACGGUGAAUCCGACCAAACUCGCGUGUAAAAAUUAGCUCGUUGUGCUCAAUUUGAUUGGUUCCCAGCGGGUUUGAUAUUUUAAAUUUAAAUUUUAUUGCGAGUUACGGAUGGAUUUGUUGUUAAAACAAAAAUUUAUCAGAUAUCUAUAGAGAUAUCUGUCGACCCACAUUUUUUAUUUUAAUCAUAAAAAUUAUAUUAAAAAAUUUAAUCAUAAAUAUACGUAAAUUAAAGCCGAGUGAGUGUCAACUCAACUGCCAAUAAAAAUCAGACCUCGAGUAGGGUCACGGUCACGGUCACGGUCACACAUUGAAAGCCUCACAUGCUGCACGUACUGUUUAAGAUUAUAUUUCUCGAGGCUGUAUUGAUGAUUGCAACAUGUGAGAGCAUGAAGCAAAAGAGAGUAAAAGCAAAAUAAAUUGGCU
rnacentral:lncRNA from 1 species